CGGAAGGGAGCCAGCAGUCCAAGCUUUGUGCUGCCCCUUGAGGGGACUCACCUUGAGGAUUGGGCUUCAGCCUGUCGAUUGCUGCUUUGCACAGGACCUUGAGGUCAUUAGACAAAAAGACUGUGGGCAGUGCCGCCCGCCCUGUGUGGAGCCUCAAGGCCUGCCACUCAGAAGGUGCUCCACUAGAGG
rnacentral:lncRNA from 1 species